UACGUAGGGGGCAAGCGUUGUCCGGAAUUAUUGGGCGUAAAGAGCGCGUAGGCGGUCCGAUAAGUCGGCUGUGAAAGUCCAGGGCUCAACCCUGGAAAGCCGGCCGAUACUGUCGGACUAGAGUCCGGAAGAGGCAAGUGGAAUUCCCGGUGUAGCGGUGAAAUGCGCAGAUAUCGGGAGGAACACCAAUUGCGAAGGCAGCUGCUGGGACGGUACUGACGCUGAGGCGCGAAAGCGUGGGGAGCAAACAGGG
rnacentral:rRNA from 1 species